GUGAAGGGUGAGCUGUUACUCUAUUUUGGGAAGACUGUGUUCACAAAGAACCAGGUCUCUGAGACACAGCUGUGGAUUUGAUGUCUCCUCAUGCCUUUGACAUCUGAGCAAGAGCUAUUGGAGUGCAACCACACUGAAGAUCCACUUCAAAAAGGUUUCGUGGUUUGGGGAUGCUGUGCUUCCUUCCACAGCAACCACCUUCUGUCUGGCUGAGAACAUGGUGGCUUAAGGGAUAUCAGGACUCCCAAAGGUGUUUUGUCAGCACCUCCUGGAAUCCAUCUCCAGCCGACUAAGUAGAGAUUUUUCUUUAAAGGCAAGAACCAACAAGGACAUGAACCAAGGAGAUGGCAGUGGGAAUGGAGACAAUGGAUCCCCAGUUGUGUGACCUUGAGAGAUAUUUUGGAGGUGGAAUAGAUGCAACAAGACACAGUGGUGGAUUUGCUGGGGUGGAAGGGAAGCAAAGGAGCAAAGGUGAGGUAAGGCAGCUGCCAUGCUGUGAGCUGCCCUGUGGAAAGCCAGGAGGCCUCAGGUCAGCAGCCUGCAGACAACUGCAUCCUGCCAGCAACCGCCUGAGUGAGCUUGCAAGCAGAUCCACCCCAGUCAAGCCUUAAGAUGGCUAUAGCCCCAGCCAAUACCUGAAAGCCUUGUGAGAAAACAGUGCCAGAGGACCCAGCUAAGCCACCUGCAGAUUCCAGAUGUGCAGACACCGUAAGAUAAUAAAUGCUGUAGCUUUAAGGCA
rnacentral:lncRNA from 13 species